rnacentral:rRNA from 1 species
UGACGUCAAAUCAGCAGGCCCUUACGUCCAGGGCUACGACACGUGCUACAAUGGCCGAUACAGAGGGCAGCUACCUGGUGACAGGAUGCAAAUCUCCAAAGUCGGUCUCAGUUCGGAUCGGAGUCUGCAACCCGACUCCGUGAAGUUGGAUUCGCUAGUAAUCGCGCAUCAGCCAUGGCGCGGUGAAUACGUUCCCGGGCCUU